AUCGAGGACCUGAGGGGCCCGCUAGCCAUCCUCUCCACGGGCUUCCUUCUGGCAGUGCUCUUUGUUAUACUCGAGUGCUUUGGAAAAAACAGCUGGAAGGAAAAAGUUUUCGGAGGAAAAAGUGUAUCCCAGACUAAAAGAAAAGAGAAGAUGAUUAAGUUGGAGCUAGAGUUGAGGACGAAGGGUUUACCUAGUGUGGAGGUGAAGAGUAUGUCAGGAGGGGACGACAACACAACCGAAGACUGAUGGAUGUAGUACCCCUCAGCUCCACGAUGAAGCAAGCAGCUGGAUUUACCAUGCAGAAACUUCAUGUUAUGCUAGAGAGAGAACAGAGAGACCUUAUCAACAGUCUGCAGCUCGAGGAAAUGAAGAAGCACGGACUGAUAAAUUCUGCAAGAACUAAAACUCACCCGUGAAAGUAUAAGCUCUGAUGUACAGUAUAUGAUGCUUAAGGGCUGUACCAGGCCACCGGGACAGCAAACAUUAAGACCAGCCAGUUGUUUACUAUACUGGCAGCUGUACAAGUUGAGGGCCGCAGAUAUCAUGGCUAACCAAGUGUAUGAAAUACUAAGAGGCUGUGUAAAGAAAAAAUAUGCCAGACAUUGAGUUAACCAGUUGUGUACAAUAUUGGAAGCUAGACAAAAGCGCCAGGCUUCUGGUAGACAUUACUAAAACCAGUUGAUUGAGAAAAAUUCAGUGGCUGUCAGACUGCUGGUGGUGGUACACUGACGAGUAUGUCGGCCUGAACAAUAAUCGACUCCUCAAAUACCGUGGUCAGUGAAGCUGUUUAGAGAGGUAGGAACACCAGGACAAAUCUCGGCAAAAGAGACGAAUCUUGCUAGUAUUAUUUCGUAGUGUUCUGUAAAAUGACCGGUCAACUUGCCCCCAGUCCUGAAGUAUCAAGCCUAACGUUCAGUAAGGAUUGGGACAGUCGUAAUGAGUGUGAUAAUGGCUUGAUUGAGAUAUACUUGGACUGGGACCUGUUGUAAUGCUGGGAUAAACUAACGUAUGUAGUUAAAUAUACCUAAGUACUGUAGUCUGUAGUUGUAACACCACAUUCUACAAAGGUGUGUUUAUUAAAAAGUAGUUACAGCAAUGUAGUAAUAGAUUUUUUACUAAUAUCAAACCUCGAGGUGCAGUUGAAAGCUUUAAUGAACCCAUAUGGAUAUAGA